rnacentral:rRNA from 1 species
UGGGGAAUAUUGGACAAUGGAGGCAACUCUGAUCCAGCAAUUCUGUGUGUGUGAAGAAGGUUUUAGGACUGUAAAACACUUUUAGUAGGGAAGAAAGAAAUGACGGUACCUACAGAAGAAGCGACGGCUAAAUACGUGCCAGCAGCCGCGGUAAUACGUAUGUCGCGAGCGUUAUCCGGAAUUAUUGGGCUUAAAGGGCAUCUAGGCGGUAAGACAAGUUGAAGGUGAAAACCUGUGGCUCAACCAUAGGCUUGCCUACAAAACUGUUGAACUAGAGUACUGGAAAGGUGGGUGGAACUACACGAGUAGAGGUGAAAUUCGUAGAUAUGUGUAGGAAUGCCGAUGAUGAAGAUAACUCACUGGACAGAAACUGACGCUGAAGUGCGAAAGCUAGGGGGGCAAACAGG